rnacentral:lncRNA from 1 species
CAGGGGUUGGCAAGACAACCUUGAUCCAGAAAGCCAUCACGGUCCUACAGUCUUCUGGGCUGCCUGUAGAUGGAUUUUACACACAAGAAGUCAGGCAGGGAGGGAAGAGGAUAGGAUUCGAUGUCGUCACCCUGUCUGGUGCCCAGGGGCCUCUGUCCAGAGUCACAGCCUCUACCUGGAAAGGCCGACUGCCGAGUGGGGCAGUAUGAGGUGGACCUGGCUUCUUUUGAGCAGUUGGUACUACCUGUCCUAAGGAAUGCUGUCCCCAGCUGUGGCCUCAGACACAGAGUGUGCGUCAUUGAUGAGGUUGGGAAGAUGGAGCUGUUCAUUGACUUUGACUGCUGUAGAUAUUAAACACCUCUCCAGGUGCAGCUCCAGACUGGUGGCAGCUGAAAGCAGUAACAACUGGUUCUCUUCAGUUAUUUCCAAAAGGGGGAAAAAAUCAGUCCUCCUCUCCCUCUCUUGUUUAUUCCUCUGUUCAUUGACUAAUAAAAACAGAAAUAAAUCUGGUGGUCCAGACACCAGGUCACAAUGCCGGUGUUAGCCACAGGCCAGACAUG